rnacentral:rRNA from 1 species
AGAAGCUUGCUUCUGGUGGAUGAGUGGCGAACGGGUGAGUAACACGUGAGUAACCUGCCCCUGANUUCNGGAUAAGCCNGGGAAACUGGGUCUAAUACCGGAUACGACCAACCCUCGCAUGAGGGUUGGUGGAAAGUUUUUUCGAUCAGGGAUGGGCUCGCGGCCUAUCAGCUUGUUGGUGGGGUAAUGGCCCACCAAGGCGACGACGGGUAGCCGGCCUGAGAGGGCGACCGGCCACACUGGGACUGAGACACGGCCCAGACUCCUACGGGAGGCAGCAGUGGGGAAUAUUGCACAAUGGGGGAAACCCUGAUGCAGCGACGCAGCGUGCGGGAUGACGGCCUUCGGGUUGUAAACCGCUUUCAGCAGGGAAGAAGCGAAAGUGACGGUACCUGCAGAAGAAGUACCGGCUAACUACGUGCCAGCAGCCGCGGUAAUACGUAGGGUACGAGCGUUGUCCGGAAUUAUUGGGCGUAAAGAGCUCGUAGGUGGUUGGUCACGUCUGCUGUGGAAACGCAACGCUUAACGUUGCGCGUGCAGUGGGUACGGGCUGACUAGAGUGCAGUAGGGGAGUCUGGAAUUCCUGGUGUAGCGGUGAAAUGCGCAGAUAUCAGGAGGAACACCGGUGGCGAAGGCGGGACUCUGGGCUGUAACUGACACUGAGGAGCGAAAGCAUGGGGAGCGAACAGGAUUAGAUACCCUGGUAGUCCAUGCCGUAAACGUUGGGCACUAGGUGUGGGGGACAUUCCACGUUCUCCGCGCCGUACGUAACGCAUUAAGUGCCCCGCCUGGGGAGUACGGUCGCAAGGCUAAAACUCAAAGGAAUUGACGGGGGCCGCACAAGCGGCGGAGCAUGCGGAUUAAUUCGAUGCAACGCGAAGAACCUUACCAAGGCUUGACAUACACUGGACCGUUCUGGAAACAGUUCUUCUCUUUGGAGCUGGUGUACAGGUGGUGCAUGGUUGUCGUCAGCUCGUGUCGUGAGAUGUUGGGUUAAGUCCCGCAACGAGCGCAACCCUCGUUCUAUGUUGCCAGCACGUGAUGGUGGGAACUCAUAGGAGACUGCCGGGGUCAACUCGGAGGAAGGUGGGGAUGACGUCAAAUCAUCAUGCCCUUUAUGUCUUGGGCUUCACGCAUGCUACAAUGGCUGGUACAGAGAGAGGCGAACCCGUGAGGGUAAGCGAAUCCCUUAAAGCCAGUCUCAGUUCGGAUCGUAGUCUGCAAUUCGACUACGUGAAGUCGGAGUCGCUAGUAAUCGCAGAUCAGCAACGCUGCGGUGAAUACGUUCCCGGGCCUUGUACACACCGCCCGUCAAGUCACGAAAGUCGGUAACACCCGAAGCCGGUGUCCCAACCCCUUUUUUGGGGAGGGGGNNGUCUAAGGUGGGACUGGUGAUUGGGACUAAGUCGUAACAAGGUAGCCGUACCGGAAGGUGC